rnacentral:rRNA from 1 species
AUGGUUUCUCAGGUGACCACCGUCGUCCCCGUCACCGACCCCCUCCGACAUCCCCGUUGUCGUCCCUGUCACCGACCCCCUCCGACAUCCCCGCCGUCGUCCCAGUCACCGACCCCCUCCGACAUCGAGGAAAUGUCGUACUCGGACGACGACAGUAUCCCGGGGGAGUGUAGCUGGUGCCACGACGAUCGAGGUAUGUGCGACAGGUUCGUUCAGCUGGACGAAAAUCGGCACUUCAGCAUUAAGCUCGAGGAGACCUUCGAUUGUGAAACGCUUAUCCCAUGCCAUGCAAGACGCUGUGUCUUGGAAAGGAUGGGUUUUGAAGACCAUGAAAAUUUCGAAACAAAGAAAAUACACCUAUGGACCCAUCAUGAUAUGGAUUUUGAAGUAAAUCUGUGCAAUGCUCAGAGCGUAACCCAUUUUGGUUGCCAAAAUUGGGAAGCACUUUGCAAAAUGUAUGGUUUUUAUGAGGGUAUGAUUGUCACCAUGGGUCUUGGUGAUCCUGACAUCGAGCAAGACAAUAUGGACAUUUGGGUCCUUGUUGAUACGCUUCCGAUUGUACCGCUAUGUGAGUUUCUCAAACAUAGUUAUUAA